rnacentral:rRNA from 1 species
GUUAAAAAGCUCGUAGUUGAAUUUCGGGACCAUCAUGUCGGUCGUGCCUCGGUACGUACUGGCAUUGUUGGUUUCUACCUUCUGACGAACCAUGAUGUCAUUUAUUUGGUGUCGUGGGAAAUCAGGACUGUUACUUUGAAAAAAUUAGAGUGUUUAAAGCAGGCUCACGCUUGAAUACAUUAGCAUGGAAUAAUGAAAUAGGACGUUUGAUUCUAUUUUGUUGGUUUCUAGGAUCGACGUAAUGAUUAAUAGGGAUAGUUGGGGGCAUUAGUAUUCAAUUGUCAGAGGUGAAAUUCUUGGAUUUAUUGAAGACUAACUACUGCGAAAGCAUUUGCCAAGGAUGUUUUCAUUAAUCAAGAACGAAAGUUAGGGGAUCGAAGACGAUCAGAUACCGUCGUAGUCUUAACCAUAAACUAUGCCGACUAGGGAUCGGAUGAUGUUAAUUUUUUAAUGACUCAUUCGGCGCCUUACGGGAAACCAAAG